GCGCGUGAGUGAAGAAGCCUUCGGGUAUAAAGCCCUUUUGUCAGGGAAGAAACACCGGCUCUAACACAGUCCGGGAAUGACGGUACCUGAAGAAUAAGCACCGGCUAACUACGUGCCAGCAGCCGCGGUAAUACGUAGGGUGCGAGCGUUAAUCGGAAUUACUGGGCGUAAAGCGUGCGCAGGCGGUUAUACAAGACAGGCGUGAAAUCCCCGGGCUUAACCUGGGAAUGGCGCCGGUGACUGUAUAGCUAGAGUGUGUCCAGAGGGGGGUAGAAUUCCACGUGUAGCAGUGAAAUGCGUAGAUAUGUGGAGGAAUACCAAUGGCGACGGCAGCCCCCUGGGAUAACACUGACGCUCAUGCACGAAAGCGUGGGGAGCAAACAGGAUUAGAUACCCUGGUAGUCCACGCCCUAAACGAUGCUGACUAGUUGUUCGGGAUUUACAUCCUGAGUAACGUAGCUAACGCGUGAAGUCAGACGGCUGGGGAGUACGGUCGCAAGAUUAAAACUCACAGGAAUUGACGGGGACCCGC
rnacentral:rRNA from 1 species